UACGUAGGGUGCGAGCGUUAAUCGGAAUUACUGGGCGUAAAGGGUGCGCAGGCGGCGUCGCAAGUCAGGCGUGAAAUCCCCGGGCUUAACCUGGGAACUGCACUUGAAACUACGAUGCUGGAGUAUGGCAGAGGGAGGUGGAAUUCCACGUGUAGCGGUGAAAUGCGUAGAGAUGUGGAGGAACACCGAUGGCGAAGGCAGCCUCCUGGGCCAAUACUGACGCUCAUGCACGAAAGCGUGGGGGGCAAACAGG
rnacentral:rRNA from 1 species